UGCAGCGAAGGACGAGGCACACAAGAAGUGGCGGGACGAUUGGUUGAGUGAAAUCACAAAGACGCGUGAGAUCGACCAUGAAUUUCGAAAAAGGAUCGAAAACGACAAGGUGUUUACCUGUGAAAAACACUUCGACGUAGAAGAUUUCGAAAUAUUUCAAACGGCGAAAAUGACGAAGAAGAAACAGAUUUUCUAACAGGAUGUAGGCAAUGGCUUGAAGCUGUUGCCUAGGCUGUCAUACGAGCAUGUAAACCUGACCCCGUAUUCUGUCAUGCGGGUGAAUCUUGCUGCACAAGUCCUGACUGCAUCAGUCGCUGCAGUUCUGAAGACGUUUGGACCUCCAGGCACAGCAGCAACUGCAAAACUCUGCGAAGUGAUCGAUGGCUUCUUUGAUUGUCUCAAUGUGAGAAGCAUGACAGAGCAUCAGAGAAAGCGCAAACCAUUCUUGGCUCCUUAUACUUCUGUUAAUGACGAAAGAUUUGCAUGGUUGACGGAGUUCCUAGACUAUCUGAGGACUUGGAAAGAGAAUGUUGACAACAGACCGGGUAACUUCACCCAGAAUGCCAGAAACCAAAUGUUCUCUCAUGGCAUACAUAUGAGGGCUUCUGCAUAUCUGUAUGUUCUGCUGUCGAGGUGACAAAAUUUUUGCCCAAGGAAGGGUUUGAAUUUGUCCUCACAGAAUGGUUCUGCCAGGAUCAAGUAGAGGAGUACUUCGGGGGCCAGCAGAAACUGGGUAGACGCAGUGACAACCCUGAUAUAAAAACAUUUGGGUAUAACAGUAACACACUAAGAAUGCAGAGAACAGUGUCCUGUCAGAGUGGCAACACAAGGGGCCGAAAGGACAAGACACGAGCCUG